rnacentral:lncRNA from 1 species
CAACAUGCUUCCCAACGCCAUUGAACCUUCAGAGUUCUUGCUUACCGGCCUCAACCGUGACGCCAUAGAAAAAGAAGUUUCGAGCCAGGGUAUUAAUGAGACCAAGGAGGAGACCCUUGCUUGUCUUCUACGCGCUGGGUGUAUCUUUGCCCACGCGUUUGACAAUUUCAACGCCGCCGCUGCUGAAACUGAACGGUUGAAGGCUGAGAGUGCCCAGCACCAAGAAGCCGCUGCUGCUUGGAAAAAGCGCUUCGACAAACUGUUGGAUCAAGCGGGAAAGGAAAAGGUUCAGGCCGACAAGUUGAUUGGCGCGGCGGGGAACAAGAUCGACGAGCUGGAAGACCAUCUGAAGCUGAUGAAGG